AGUCCAGUGGGGUAUAGUGGUUUGAGCAUUGGACUAAGACUCUGGAGACCAGGGUUCGAAUCCAGGCUGGGCCA